ACCUCAUUAUAUAUUCAUCAAUGGCGGCUUCCGUAAGCAGCGUCCAUCGAUAAAAUUGUUGAUUACAAAUUGUAUGCAUGAAUGCGGAUAAAAAAAUAAUAUUGGUAUGAUGUUCAUUGAUUAUUAAAACAUGAUUACGGCAUUUUUGUGCCGAAACUAUAUUAUAAAUGGUUGCAAUAGAUGUUUUUGUUGCCGGGAUUAGACCCCGCCUUCGUGGGAGUAUCAACCAAUGAAAAGCCGAUCGCCGUCUUUAGAUGCUUGAAGAUGGCAGAAGUGAAAGCACCUUGCUGGAGCAAUUAUUUUCUCUAAUGCGUGAAAAUAAACCGACAAAAGAAAUGGUACUUUUUGCUGACCUCAAUCUGUAGCCGGGAGAAUGAUUGAUUAAAAUUUGAUAUGAAGGAUUUAUGAGUGGGAUGUUUCAUCUUCAAUGCCUUAUACUUGAUGCAGUCAUCCACAUCGGUUGAUGGGCCCAGUAACUGAACAGCCAGGUCAAAAGGGGUCUUCUUUCUACUAGAUACUGAAAUUAAAAAAAAUGCGAAGUUGAUGGUUGAUCCUCGUUGGCAGGUUCUUUGGUGCCACUACUGCCUUGAAAUUCUAUGGAGAGAAAAAAAUGCAGGUAUGUUGUGCUGGUAGUUGUCUGUUGACUCAGAUGGCAAGUCUACAAAAAACAUCAGUAGUUUCUGAAACGGUAUAGAAGAACAAUAUGUGUCAUACACAUACAUAAUGGCGGAAGCAGCACAUACUACGGAUGAUUCUACAGCAGAAGAUUCAAAUCAGACGAAUAUAGCAAAUGAAACGAAAGGGACUAAUGAGUCGCAGGUAACAGGAGACGGAGGGGUAUCAGAAAUUGGAAAUACCUUAGCAAACAUAAGUCUUAUUCAA